CCUACGGGUGGCAGCAGUAGGGAAUCUUCGGCAAUGGACGAAAGUCUGACCGAGCAACGCCGCGUGAGUGAAGAAGGCUUUCGGAUCGUAAAACUCCGUUGGUAGAGAAGCACGUUGGUGAGAGUGGAAAGCUCAUCAAGUGACGGUAACUACCAAGAAAGGGACGGCUAACUACGUGCCCGCGGCCGCGGUAAUACGUAGGUCCCGAGCGUUGUCCGGUUUUAUUGGGCGUAAAGGGAGCGGAGGUGGUUUGUUAAGUCUGGUGUAAAAGGCAGUGGCUCAACCAUUGCAUGCAUUGGAAACUGGUAGACUUGAGUGCAGGAGAGGAGAGUGGAAUGCGAGGUGUAGCGGUGAAAUGCGUAGAUAUAUGGAGGAACACCGGUGGCGAAGGCAGCUUUCUGGCCUGCAACUGACACUGAGGCUCGAAAGCGUGGGGAGCAAACAGGAUUAGAUACCCCGGUAGUC
rnacentral:rRNA from 1 species